rnacentral:rRNA from 1 species
UUACGAGGUCAGGACACUGUGAGGAUCGACAGAUUGAAAGCUCUUUCUUGAUUCAGUGGGUGGUGGUGCAUGGCCGUUCUUAGUUGGUGGAGUGAUUUGUCUGGUUAAUUCCGUUAACGAACGAGACCUUAACCUGCUAAAUAGUCACGCGAACCGGUCCGCAAGGGCUCAAAGUUCGCGGCUCGACUUCUUAGAGGGACUAUUCGCACCCGCCAGCGAAUGGAAGUUUGAGGCAAUAACAGGUCUGUGAUGCCCUUAGAUGUUCUCGGCCGCACGCGCGUUACACUGACGGAGUCAACGAGCGUUUUUCCUUGCCCGACAGGGCUGGGUAACCUCCUGAAACUCCGUCGUGAUGGGGAUAGAUCAUUGCAAUUAUUGAUCUUGAACGAGGAAUUCCUAGUAAGCGUGAGUCAUCAACUCGCGCUGAUUACGUCCCUGCCCUUUGUACACACCGCCCGUCGCUCCCACCGAUUGAACGGUCCGGCGAGAACUCCGGAUGGUC